UCUCCACACCAACUCCAACCUCCAUCAUUAACUACAAUCUGACUCUGUUUCCUACGAUUCAUCGACAUUUUCAAAGAAAAAGAAUCGAACGAGCAGAACCCGAAUUGCAAAAAUUAACCUUUACGCCUUCAACCUUUGUCUCUCUUUAACACGACCAUAACUGGGUUUCUCCCUCCAGGCCCAGUAUCUCGACUCAGCCCCUUCGUUCCCCAUUUUCAUUCCUUCUUAUUUCAAUUUUCAUCCAUAGAUUUGUGGAAUAUAAGAAGAAGAUGAAACAAGAAUCGGGAAAUACAAGGGAUGUGAAGAAGGGAAGGGCUGUCAUUUUCUAUGACUGUGCCGAAAACCAUCAUCAAUCCGUCAUGGGUUUGUGGUACAAUCGAAUCCUCUGAAAAGAAUAUGCUUUUCCCCAUUUGCCAACUGUGUAAUAAUUCAAUCUAUCUGAUAUUGCUUGUUCUUUAUUUUAUUUGAAAAAAAAACAAUCAAUUCCGAAUUGUCUACUUGUAUCUAAAUUUAGCAAUUUUUCGUAGUCAAGCUUCCAUCUUUGAUUCCAAUUACAGUUCGCUAGAGGCGCUUUUCUGGUUUUUAAUUGAAACGUCUAGAGUUCGGAAUCAGCUUCGCAUUUCGUGUGGGGAAUCAAUAAGGUAUCCCCAAAAUUUGAUCUUAUUUAGUUUGGUCGCCUACUGGUCGAGGAAUUUGGACAAUCGGGGUUUACUGGAAACAACCGUUUACAAGAUUUCGCGUCUUGUUUCAAAUCUCUUCAAAUUGAUGACGAGAUUUUAGUGAAAUUGGGCGUGUGAAUCUUGAACCUUUCAAUUUAGGGAAGCAUGUAUGCUGUAGGGAAAUUAAGUAGCUAUAUCAGUCAAGGGGUUUACACUGUUUCAGGCCCUUUUCAUCCAUUUGGUGGCGCUGUUGACAUGGUUGUUGUUCAACAACAAGAUGGUAGCUUGAAAUCAUCUCCUUGGUAUGUUCGAUUUGGGAAAUUUCAAGGGGUUUUGAAAGCAAAAGAGCGAGUUGUUGACAUUAAUGUUAAUGGGGUUGAUGUGGGUUUCAAUAUGUAUUUAGAUCCAAGAGGGGAGGCUUACUUUCUCAGAGAGAUUGAUUCAGAGGAGGAAGUAGUAGAACCAGUUUCAUCUCAUUCAGUUUCAUCACAUUCUUCCAUGUGUGAAGAAAUAGAUGGGAAAAACCAUGAAAAGAUCACAGUCAAGUCCAAAAGUAUGAAUUAUGAUUAUGAUGAUUCUAAUUCGGUUGAUGGUAAGGUUUUGGGUAGGAAUAACUCUAAAAGGUCUAGGAUUUUAGGGUUUGUUCUUGGGAGAAGAUCGAUGAAUGAACACAUUUUGUCAAAGGAAGAAAAUGAUUCAAAUGUUGGUAGAAUGACAAUGGAGGGUGAGAUUGCAGCCGAUUUGUUGGAGAUGAAUUGGUCAACCAAUUUUUCAUCAAGAAGUAACAUGAACGAUUGUAAUAAAGAAUCAAGAAAAGAUAAUGGGGAAAUGGAAAUCACUGGUGGAAGAUUGGAAGGGAGUUUGGUUUUACAUGAACAACACUUUGUAAAUAAGCCAGAGACUUCCAUUGUUGAUAAAGAGAUUCAAGAAGAAGAAAGUGUUUCUAAAGAGUGUUCAAGAACUCGAUUGGAUGAUGAAAAUGGUGCAGAAAUGGAUUUAAUAAAUGGUGAAGGGCCUUUAAAGAUUGUGACAAAAGUUGCAUCUAAUGAAGAAGGAGAUGCUUCUGUAGUUGUUUCAUGUAGUACAUUUGAAGUAAACGAAUCAAAUGAAAUUUCUCCACCAUUGGAAUCCGAAUUCCAAGAUGUUAAUGGUGAUUCCAUUGUAAUACAAGAAGUAUCCGAACAAAUUGUGGAAGAACAAUUUAUCUUUAGUGAUGUUGAAGAUUCAAAACCGAGUUUCAACAACACCGAGCUAAAAGUCAAUCCUCCACCAGUCAAAAUCCAUCAAGAACAAUCGAAAGGUGAGAAUAAAGUGGUGAAGGGGAACAUUAAAAGGUAUAGAAGUAAUGUUGAUAUUCCUAUGAAUCGUGAAAUUACAAAAGAGGAAAUUGGGAUGCAAUCGAAAUCACUUCCAAACAUGUGGUCUCAUUUUGAUGAUCCAAUUCAAGAUAAUCAUGAGGAUUCACAAUUUUAUUCUCCUGUUAAUAAAUUUAGAUCAUCGAAUUGGGAUUUGGUUAGGGAAGAUGCUUCAAGGAUCAUAAAAGCAAAUUUGGAGAAAGAGUUAUCACAAAAUCCAGACACAUUGACAAAGGAUCUUAAAGAUGGUGACAUUGCAAAUGGUGGUGGAAGUUGGAGUCUAUGGCCAUUUAGAAGAAUGGGAAGUAGAAACGUUUCUCCAAAAGAACAAAUCACUAAAAAAGAUUCAGAUAUUGACAUUAUACCUGAUUCAGAAGCAUCUACACCAAGUUCAAAUAAGCAUACAAGAUCACUUACUCCAACAUCUGAGCAAUUAGCUUCUUUGAAUUUAUCAGAAGGGAAAAACACAGUAACCUUCACAUUUUCAACAUCGGUUUUAGGGCCUCAAAAGGUAGAUGCUAGCAUUUAUUUGUGGAGGUGGGAUACUCGUAUUGUCAUCUCAGAUGUUGAUGGAACAAUUACAAAAUCUGAUGUUCUUGGACAAUUUAUGCCCUUGGUUGGAAGAGAUUGGUCUCAUAUUGGUGUAACACAUCUAUUUUCAGGGAUUAAGGAAAAUGGAUAUCAAAUGCUUUAUUUAAGUGCUCGGGCAAUUUCUCAAGCAUCAAUCACUAGACAAUUCUUGUUCAACCUAAAACAGGAUGGAAAGGCUUUGCCAGAUGGGCCUGUUGUUAUUUCUCCUGAUGGACUUUUUCCUUCUCUUUUUCGUGAAGUUAUAAGAAGAGCUCCACACGAAUUCAAAAUUGCUUGCUUGGAGGAUAUCAAGGCAUGUUUUCCAUCCGAUAGGAAUCCAUUCUAUGCUGGCUUUGGAAACCGAGAUACAGACGAAUUUAGUUAUGUCAAAGUUGGAAUACCAAAGGGAAAAAUCUUCAUAAUCAAUCCUAAGUUUAUAGGGAGAGGUUGUAGUGAACCGAUGCAUCGACUCAAAAUCAUAUGCUUCACUUCAUGCUCUUGUCAAUGGCAUUUUCCCUCCAAUAUCUGUGCAUGAAGAGGAGGAUUAUAACUCAUGGAACUUCUGGAAACUUCCACCUCCAAACAUGGAGUAACUUGAGAUAAAAGACAUCCACAAGAAUAUGAUGAGAUGAGAGAUGUGAAGGAGUUGCUGCAAAUUUGUAGUAAGAAUGUAAGAUAAUUGGAAUUCUUGAUAUAUGUUCAACUAUUCUUCCACCUUGUUUCUUUUUCUUUGCAACCACUGAAUCUUUUAAUGGCUGAAAAGCUUGAGCUUUGAAAAGAUUUAAAGGAAGAAGGCAGUGCAUUAGGCUUUUUAGAAUGUUACAUGUAUAUGAACUAUAGUUUAAAUUUGAAUGAACUAAUGUUGUAAGUGAUAGAUUGAAGAGUACUAAAAUUAGUUACUACUUUUAUUUGAAAAAUAAGAUUGAAAGUCAAAAUAUAACAAGGUGAUAUCUAUUUUCUCAUUAUUUUAAUGGUAAAAUACAUGAGACAAAUAUUUCUUCUUUUCGUAACAUUAUAUUUUUGUAACCCCAAUUGAUCUUUUAUAUUAAAGGAAAACACAUAGCGUAAGUCUUGCACCUAUGACAUCUAAUAAACAAUGCUACAUGCCAAUCUCUAAACCAAUCAAAUUUGCUAAAUCGACUUUAAUUAAUCUAACAAAG